CCUACGGGAGGCAGCAGUGAGGAAUAUUGGUCAAUGGGCGGGAGCCUGAACCAGCCAAGUCGCGUGAGGGAAGACGGUCCUAUGGAUUGUAAACCUCUUUAGGAGGGGAGCAAAGCCGGGAACGCGUGCCCGGAGGGAGAGUACCCGCAGAAUAAGCAUCGGCUAAUAUCUUUCAAGCAGACGCGGUAAUACGGAGGAUGCGAGCGUUAUCCGGAUUUAGUGGGGUUAAAGGGGGCGUGGGCGGAGUUUUAAGGCAGAGGGAAAAUGGCGGGGCUCAACCCGGGCCGGCCGUUGAAACUGGGUAUCUUGAGUGGGCGAGAAGUAGGCGGAAUGCGUGGUGUAGCGGUGAAAUGCAUAGAUAUCACGCAGAACUCCGAUUGCGAAGGCAGCAUACCGGCGCCCGACUGACGCUGAGGCACGAAAGCGUGGGGAUCGAACAGGAUUAGAUACCCUAGUAGUC
rnacentral:rRNA from 1 species